rnacentral:tRNA from 1 species
AGUCUCUGUAGCUCAGUGGCAGAGCGCUGGUCUUGUAAACCAGGGGUCGUGAGUUCAAUCCUCACAGAUUG